CUCCCCACUUGUUUCUCUGUCUGAGAUUCGUAAAAUAAAAUGUAUGUUAUCUUGAUUAUUUUAUCACCACUUGUAAUUCGAUAAUACGCUCCAUCCGUUAAUAUGUUGUCUUCAAGGUCAAGCUAAAGGUCUUUCCUAGCCGUUGAUGGGACCUAAGAAUGUGCAGAAAAACCGGCAAGCAGCACUAGAAAGAUAAAAGAAAUCAAAAUUAAAAAAAAAGUUGGCAGUGAACAUGGCAGAUUCUCGUCCUCCUCUCGAUCCCAGUGGGCCAGGCUACUCAGGCGCAGGAAUCAAAACUAGUAUAACUGGCACCGUGUACCAGAUAG